AACGCACGAGACCUGCGGACCUGCGGAGGGAUCAUCAAAAAGAGAAGGGGGGAAGGUGUGAAAGUUUUCUUUCACCUCUCUCUCCUUUUUUAUUAAUUUUUUCUUUCUUUCCCUUUUUUCUAUAUACUACUCCUAGGAGUUGUAAUUAGAGAAAAAGGGGGUGAAGAAAAGAAACUUGUCGACUUCUUGUUGUCCCCUUUUUAGGAGAGUUUCUUUUAAAAAGGGGUAGACCCUUUUCCC
rnacentral:misc_RNA from 1 species